AUUGAACGCUGGCGGCAGGCCUAACACAUGCAAGUCGAGCGGAGCGGCGGACGGGUGAGUAAUGCCUAGGAAUCUGCCUGGUCGUGGGGGAUAACGUCCAGAAACGGGCACUCAUACCGCAUACUAUCAGAUGAGCCUAGGUCGGAUUAGCUAGUUGGUGUGGUAAAGGCCUACCAAGGCGACGAUCCGUAACUGGUCUGAGAGGAUGAGCAGUCACACUGGAACUGAUACACGGUCCAGACUCCUACGGGAGGCAGCAGUGGGGAAUAUGGGACAAUGGGCGAAAGCCUGAUGCAGCCAUGCCGCGUGUGUGAAGAAGGCCUUCGGAUUGUAAAGUACUUGAAGCUGGGAGGCGUUACCAACAGAAUAAGCACCGGCUAACUUCGUGCCAGCAGCCGCGGUAAUUC
rnacentral:rRNA from 1 species